rnacentral:rRNA from 1 species
CCUACGGGAGGCAGCAGUAGGGAAUCUUCCACAAUGGACGAAAGUCUGAUGGAGCAACGCCGCGUGAGUGAAGAAGGGUUUCGGCUCGUAAAGCUCUGUUGGUAGUGAAGAAAGAUAGAGGUAGUAACUGGCCUUUAUUUGACGGUAAUUACUUAGAAAGUCACGGCUAACUACGUGCCAGCAGCCGCGGUAAUACGUAGGUGGCAAGCGUUGUCCGGAUUUAUUGGGUUUAAAGGGUGCGUAGGCGGACUGUUAAGUCAGCGGUAAAAGCCCGGGGCUCAACCCCGGCGAGCCGUUGAAACUGGCUGUCUUGAGAUGUCGAGAGGUAUGCGGAAUGCGCAGUGUAGCGGUGAAAUGCUUAGAUAUUGCGCAGAACUCCGAUUGCGAAGGCAGCAUACCGGCGGCGAUCUGACGCUGAGGCACGAAAGCGUGGGUAUCGAACAGGAUUAGAUACCCUAGUAGUC